rnacentral:rRNA from 2 species
AGAGUUUGAUCCUGGCUCAGAACGAACGCUGGCGGCGUGCUUAACACAUGCAAGUCGAACGUGAUCCAGAGCUUGCUCUGGUGAAAGUGGCGCACGGGUGAGUAACGCGUGGAUAACCUGCCCUGGUAUCUGGGAUAACAUCUCGAAAGGGGUGCUAAUACCGGAUAAGCCUACGGGCUCUUCGGAGUCUGCAGGAAAAGGAGGCCUCUAUUUACAAGCUUCCGUAUCAUGAUGGGUCCGCGUACCAUUAGCUAGUUGGUGGGGUAAUGGCCUACCAAGGCGACGAUGGUUAGCUGGUCUGAGAGGAUGAUCAGCCACACUGGAACUGAGACACGGUCCAGACUCCUACGGGAGGCAGCAGUGGGGAAUUUUGCGCAAUGGGGGAAACCCUGACGCAGCAACGCCGCGUGAGUGAUGAAGGCUUUCGGGUCGUAAAGCUCUGUCAGAGGGGAAGAAAUGAAACGUGCUAAUAUCACGUUUUCUUGACGGUACCCUCAAAGGAAGCACCGGCUAACUCCGUGCCAGCAGCCGCGGUAAUAC